UACAGAGGUGGCAAGCGUUGUUCGGAAUUACUGGGCGUAAAGGGCGCGUAGGCGGCCUUCUAAGUCAGACGUGAAAUCCCCAGGCUUAACCUGGGAACUGCGUCGGAUACUGGAUGGCUUGAAUCCGGGAGAGGGAUGCAGAAUUCCAGGUGUAGCGGUGAAAUGCGUAGAUAUCUGGAGGAAUACCGGUGGCGAAGGCGGUUCUCUGGGCCUUACCUGACGCUGAGGAGCGAAAGCGUGGGGAGCGAACAGG
rnacentral:rRNA from 1 species